GAUGAACGCUGGCGGCGUGCCUAACACAUGCAAGUCGAGCGGACGGACGAGGAUCUUGUUGCGCGGUUGUGAGCCGCGGGGGGGUGUGUAACGCGUGUAUAACCUACCUAUAAGACGGGGAUAACUUGGAGAAAGCGGAGCUAAUAGCGUAGAAUAUCUUGAACCGCAUGGGGCGAAAGUGAAAGACGGUCGUUCGGGCACGUAUAGAUGGAUACGCGCUUCAUUAGCUGGUUGGUAAGGUAACGGGUUACCAAGGCGACGAUGCAUAGCCGACCUGUGAGGCUGGUCGGCCACAGUGGAGGUGAGACGCGGACCAGACUCCUACGGGACGCAGCAGUAGCGAAUCUUACGCAACAGGGGAGAGCCUGACAGAGCAACCCGGCGUGAGUUAUGACGGUCUCCCGAUCGUAAAACCCUGUUACUAGGGAAAAACCGAUGUCUACGGAACCGAAGACAUCUUGACGGUACCUAAUAAGAAAGCCCCGGCUAACUACGUG
rnacentral:rRNA from 1 species